GCGCUUGUUUGGGCAGCACAUAUGCUAAAACUGGAACGAUACAGAGAAGAUGAGCAUGGCCCCUGUGCAAGGAUGACACUCAAAUUCGUGAGGAGGUCUAUAUUUUU